rnacentral:rRNA from 1 species
GACGAACGUUGGCGGCGUGCCUAAUACAUGCAAGUAGAACGCUGAAGGAGGAGCUUGCUCUUCUGGAUGAGUUGCGAACGGGUGAGUAACGCGUAGGUAACCUGCCUGGUAGCGGGGGAUAACUAUUGGAAACGAUAGCUAAUACCGCAUAAUAGUAGAUGUUGCAUGAUAUUUACUUAAAAGGUGCAAUUGCACCACUACCAGAUGGACCUGCGUUGUAUUAGCUAGUUGGUGGGGUAACGGCUCACCAAGGCGACGAUACAUAGCCGACCUGAGAGGGUGAUCGGCCACACUGGGACUGAGACACGGCCCAGACUCCUACGGGAGGCAGCAGUAGGGAAUCUUCGGCAAUGGACGAAAGUCUGACCGAGCAACGCCGCGUGAGUGAAGAAGGUUUUCGGAUCGUAAAGCUCUGUUGUAAGAGAAGAACGAGUGUGAGAGUGGAAAGUUCACACUGUGACGGUAUCUUACCAGAAAGGGACGGCUAACUACGUG